AGGAAAAUGCUACUUUGACAACCACAUUUGACAACGUUUUUGACAACCACAAAUGGCAACGUCUGAUUGGCUCUUUGAAUUGUAUUUUAAAAAAAGAAAAUUGCUGAAGGCAAGGGCAUUUGCGGAAAACCACUUGGUGGAAAUAAUUCAUUCGCGCCUAGGAAACCCUUUCUCCACGACAAACGUAACUCUCUCCACGAAAGCACACUCUCUGUUUCAUUGCAAUCUCAAUAGUUUGCGUCUUCAGGAAAACUUCACGAAAGCACAGGGUCUGUAUUCAAUCGUGGGCAUUGAAGUGUUUGACGUUGACGAAAGCUUCACGAAAGCGC
rnacentral:lncRNA from 1 species